rnacentral:rRNA from 1 species
UACAGAGGGUGCAAGCGUUAAUCGGAAUUACUGGGCGUAAAGCGUGCGUAGACGGUUGCGUAAGUCAGAUGUGAAAGCCCCGGGCUCAACCUGGGAAUUACAUUUGAGACUGCGUAGCUAGGGUGCGGAAGAGGGAAGCGGAAUUUCCGGUGUAGCGGUGAAAUGCGUAGAUAUCGGAAGGAACACCAGUGGCGAAAGCGGCUUCCUGGUCCAGCACCGACGUUCAGGCACGAAAGCGUGGGGAGCAAACAGG